GUUGUCAUGCCUUCCCCAUCAUUACACAUGGUGUCCCCUUUGGAACUACUACUAACUAAAAUAAACCUUCUCUUCCAAGUUGCUGUUGUUUGGGGAUUUAUAACAGCAAAAGAAAAGUACCUGAGCAUCAUUCUUUGAGUUCUUCCCUUUUUUUUUUUUUUUUUGAUAUUUUCUUUGUUUAUCUUUUAAAUGUUAUCCCCUUUCCUGGUUUCCUGUUCCCAGAAACCCCCUAUCCCAUCCUCCCUCCACCUGCUUCUAUGAGGAUGUUCCUCCGCCCGCCCACCCACUCCAAUCUCCCUGCCCUCAGUUCCCCUACUCUGGGGCAUCUAUGGAGCCUUCAUAGGACCAAGGACUUCUCCUCCCAUUGAUACAUGACAAGGCCAUCCUCUGCUACAUAUGCAGCUGGAGCCAUGUGUACUCCUUUGUUGGUGGCUUAGUCCCUGGGAGCUCUGGGGGGUCUGGUUGGUUCAUAUUGUUGUUCUUCCUAUGGGGCUGCAAAUCCCUUCAGCUCCUUCAGUCCUUUCUCUAACUCCUCCAUUGGGGACCCCACACUCAGUCCAGUGGUUGGCUGUGAGCAUCUACCUCUGUAUUUGUCAGGCUCUAGCAGAGCCUCUCAGGAGACAGCUAUAUCAGGCAGCAUGCACUUCUUGGCAUCCACAAUAGCAUCUGAAUUUGCUAACUGUUUAUGGGAUGAAUCCCCAGGUCAGACAGUCUCUGGAUGGCCUUUCCUUCAGACUCUGCUCUAUACUUUAUCUCCAUAUUUGCUCCUGUGAGUAUUUUGUUCUCCUUCUAAGAAGAACAGAAGCACCCACACUUUGGUCUUCCUUCUUAUUGAGCGUCAUGUGGUCUGUGAAUUGUAUCUUGGGUAUUCCAAACUUUUGAGCUAAUAUCCGCUUAUUAGUGAGUGCAUCCUUUCUGGCACAGUAAGAAGUUCCCAGCUGACCUUUCAUUGUUUGUUAUCAUUGUUUUUGCCUUUCAGUGUGUGUCCAUGAGCACAUGUGUGUGUAUAUGCAUGUGUGUGUGCGUGUGUGUGUGUGUGUGUGUGUGUGUGUGUGUGUGUCUUUGUGUGUGCACAUGCCCCUGUGGAAGCCAGAGGGCUACUGAUGGGAUUCAGAUCUCCUCCUUCCUCAUGGUUCCUGGGGGAUAAACUCAGAUUGUCAGGCUUGGUAGCAGGCUCCUUUAUCCACUGAAACUGUCUUUCCAGCCUGCUUUUAGGGCUUUCAACUUUAGAAUCAGCCCUCUCUUCAAGUAGCGCUGGUGAAUUAUAAAGGGAAAGUGAUAUUUAGAAGCCCAUAUCUGGUUCUUGGUAGUCUUGCUUCUAUUAGAACUUAGUUGCUCUUAGCCCUCUCUGUGACUAGAGAAGGGAGGCAGAUGUGCAUGUGUCACAUUGUGUGAUGGCUAAAGUCACGUCACACACCAGUACUUCCUACUGUAGACCAUUACCACAGAAUUUGCUCCAGACUUCCCUUGGGUAAUUUCCUCUCCAACUGAAUGUAGUGGCUUGAAGAUGAAAGCAGGAAGAUCAGGAGUUCAAGAUGAUCCUUGGUUCCAUAAAGAAUUUGAGGCCAACUCUGUUUAUGUUUUCCUCAGUAAUAUUUACUUUAUGUAGUCUACUCUCUAAUGAUAUAAGACCACCCCUUCACCUUAACCCACAUCUCCUAAGCAUACCAUCUACUCCAGACACACCAACUGAACUCUCAACCAGCUUAGGUCCUGGGCCUACACAUUGCACUUGACUUGCAUUCGUAUCUACUUAUGUGGUAAGUUCUGAUCCACUGGUGGAGACAGAAUGCCAGCUUACUACAACUUCUAAAAGUAUCACAACUCCUGCAAAUGACCCCCCCCCC
rnacentral:lncRNA from 1 species